UACGAAGGGGGCUAGCGUUGCUCGGAAUUACUGGGCGUAAAGCGUGCGUAGACGGUUAUGUAAGUCAGGUGUGAAAGCCCCGGGCUCAACCUGGGAAUUGCAUUUGAGACUGCAUAGCUAGGGUGCGGAAGAGGGAAGCGGAAUUUCCGGUGUAGCGGUGAAAUGCGUAGAUAUCGGAAGGAACACCAGUGGCGAAAGCGGCUUCCUGGUCCAGCACCGACGUCAGGCACGAAAGCGUGGGGAGCAAACAGG
rnacentral:rRNA from 1 species